UGAAAUCAGCCAGCCAGCCAGCCAACCAGCCAUGUCUUACACUCCGGGAAUCGGUGGGGACCCUGCCCAGCUGGCGAAACGCAUCUCCUCUAACAUCCAAAAGAUCACACAGUGCUCCGUGGAAAUACAGAGGACUCUGAAUCAACUUGGAACACCUCAAGAUUCACCGGAAUUGAGGCAACAGCUGCAGCAGAAGCAGCAGUAUACUAACCAACUUGCGAAAGAAACAGAUAAGUACAUUAAGGAGUUUGGCUCUCUGCCCCCCAACCCCAGUGAACAGCGUCAGAGAAAGAUACAGAAAGACCGGCUAGUGGCAGAGUUCACCACGUCACUGACAAACUUUCAGAAGGCCCAGAGGCAGGCUGCUGAGAGAGAGAAAGAGUUUGUUGCCCGAGUGCAAGCCAGCUCCAGAGUAUCGGGUGGUUUUCCUGAAGACAGCUCAAAAGAAAAGAAUCUUGUAUCCUGGGAAAGCCAGACACAGCCUCAAGUGCAGGUCCAAGAUGAAGAAAUCACAGAGGAUGACCUCCGACUCAUUCAUGAGAGAGAGUCUUCAAUCAGGCAGCUGGAAGCUGAUAUUAUGGACAUUAAUGAGAUAUUUAAAGACUUGGGGAUGAUGAUUCAUGAACAAGGCGAUGUGAUUGACAGCAUAGAAGCCAAUGUAGAAAGUGUGGAGGUUCACGUUCAACAGGCAAACCAGCAGCUGUCAAGAGCAGCAGAUUAUCAGCGCAAAUCAUGGAAAACCCUCUGCAUCAUCAUUUUUAUCCUCGUGAUCGGAAUUGUGAUCAUCUGUCUCAUUGUGUGGGGACUAAAAGGCUGAGCCCUGAGGGCGUGGACGAUGGCAUGAUGCUGUCUGAGUGAUGCAGGCAGACUCUUGGGCUCACGUUCUCUUAUCGUUACUGUGAGGCUGUUGUGUAAAACGAUGGUUCCAUACUUUGCCAUUUUUACCAGGGGGAGGGGAGAUUCUUUUGGAUUCAGUCUGAUAUUUUCUAAUACCCAAGGCUUUUCUAAAAAUCCUUACUGGCACAGCUUCCCUGCUNUUUAGUUCAACAACUGUUGGGUUUUGCUCACGUUGUGUAUGCCUCUCAUUUAUAAUUUAUUUAUAUUGUUUGACUGAGUUUUGGGAAUUAUUUGAUUGGCGUGUAUACUCUGCCUGCACCUCUGUAACUGUGUAACAUGUGUAACAUGAUUGCGUUAUCUUAUUUAAAAAGAAAGCCCAAGUUUAAAUUUCAUUUGUCCAGUAANUGUUUUCNAUAGGAAACCCUUAACAUACCUGUCUGUGGAAUGUUUUAUCCGCUGUGGUCCACAGCAGUACAGGUCAUCAUUGCUCUUUCAUUAUUGGAUUGUUCUUAUCAUCUCUGAAUAAAAUCAGUG